UGGCGAACAUCAGGUAGCGGAUUCAUCAAUAAGAUCUGCCCUCGGAUUGCUUUGUAGGACUCAUUUAGGCCCAUGAGAAAUUGCAUCAAUCGGCAUCGCUUAUGAUCUACCCUACAAAAGCAAACGAUGUCAUUAUAAGAACCCAGUUCAUCCCAUAAUCCUUCCAGCUUCGUAUAGUACGCCGCAACAGUCAUCUGAGCUUGGGAAAGACAAGUGAUGUCCCUCUCAAUUUGAAAAAUACGAGGGGCGUUGCUCUGAGAAAAACGAUCCCGAAGGUCUUC
rnacentral:lncRNA from 1 species